CAGUAGCCGCGGGAACACGUAGGGUGCAAGCGUUAAUCGGAAUUACUGGGCGUAAAGCGUGCGCAGGCGGUUAUAUAAGUCAGAUGUGAAAUCCCCGGGCUCAACCUGGGACCUGCAUUUGUGACUGUAUAGCUAGAGUACGGUAGAGGGGGAUGGAAUUCCGCGUGUAGCAGUGAAAUGCGUAGAUAUGCGGAGGAACACCGAUGGCGAAGGCAAUCCCCUGGACCUGUACUGACGCUCAUGCACGAAAGCGUGGGGAGCAAACAGGAUUAGAUACCCGCGUAGUCCCUGUCUCUUAUAC
rnacentral:rRNA from 1 species